AAACUUUCAGCUCUCACACAUACCUAUCAAGCAUUUAUUGAGCUCCUGUGAACACAGACACUCCUGCUCUCUCCAGGAAGCGCUCCCGGCUCAGGGCGCCUUGGGUCCGUGGCGCCACCUGCUGUUCUCGCGGCGCCAGCGCAGUCUGCGAGGCCGUCCCAGCUCUUUCCACCCGAGCGCGAGGUAGACGCCGGGGCCACCCGCAGCACGCAGAGCUUCUGGGAGCCGGUGGCAAGGCCGAAUUGGGAUGCAAACCAAAUGGACGUGGGUGACUGGCAGAAAACGCCUCCCACAAAUGGGAGGGAUUUCGGAGGGAACCGAAAGAAAGUUGCCAUGCUUCCAGGAGGUGGAUGGAGAAACCACGAGACACAUAACAGAUCCAGCUCAGACUCCUGUGCUCCUUGAUAGGCACAUUUCCUCCUGGUCAGCAGAUCUUUCUGGGAGGUGCAGCCAGGUGGACCAUCCUCAUGGCCGGUGGCAUCCCCUGAGCCUCCAGCUGUACUCUAAGCCUGAUUCUUCCAACCAUGGCCCUCAUAUUGAAUUCACCAUCCUCUCUCAUCCUGCAUUUAAGCCCUGCAACGGGCUAGCUUGUGUCUUCCCAAAAUCUAUAUGUGGAAGUCCUAACACCCAGUACCUCAAAAUGGGACUGUGUUUGGACACAGGGCCUUUAAGGAGGUGAUCAAGGCAAAUGAGGUCAUAUGGGUGAGCCCUAAUACGAUAUGACUGCUGUUCCCAUAAGAAGAGAUUAGGACGCCGACAAGCACAGAGGAAAGACCACAUGAGGACGUGGGGAGAAGACGGCAUCUACAAGCCAAGGAGAGAGGCCUCAGAAGAAACUGGUCCUGCUGAUUUUGGCCUUCCAGCCCCCAGAACUGGA
rnacentral:lncRNA from 10 species